GACGAACGCUGGCGGCGUGCUUAACACAUGCAAGUCGAGCGAUGAAGUUUCUUCGGAAAUGGAUUAGCGGCGAACGGGUGAGGAACACGUGAAGAAUCUGCCCUCCACUUUGGGAUAACACCGGGAAACCGGUGCUAAUACUGAAUAUUGAAACAUAAGUGGCAUCACUGAGUUUUGAAAGAAUUUCGGUGUGAGGAUGACUUCGCGGCCUAUCAGCUAGUUGGUGAGGUAAGGGCUAACCAAGGCAACGACGGGUAGCCGGCCUGAGAGGGCGACCGGCCACACUGGGACUGAGACACGGCCCAGACUCCUACGGGAGGCAGCAGUGGGGAAUAUUGGGCAAUGGAGGAAACUCUGACCCAGCGACGCCGCGUGCGGGAUGAAGGCCUUCGGGUUGUAAACCGCUUUCAGUAGGGAAGAAGCGAAAGUGACGGUACCUACAAAAGAAGCACCGGCUAACUAUGUGCCAGCCGCCGCCGUAA
rnacentral:rRNA from 1 species